GGGCAGUAAAUACUUCGGAGCGAAGGCAUGGAGCAACUCCACAUUACAUAAAUCCGGGGGGUCGGCCGGGUUUUUAAUGCCUCCAGCGCGCAUCAGUCAAGGUAUUGAAUGCGGCAGUACAAUGAGCCACGUGUUUCCUUCAAUUAACAUGUGAUUUCGUAUGAUCGGCUGUCAGAAGAUACAAGUAGAUUUCGUAUUGGCCGAGGGAGGCGCGUACAGCGAGGAAGAAGAAAAAUAAGAGAUGCGGGAAGAACACGCAAACGGACGGAAGAGGUUGGCUUUUCUCCCCUUCCUUGCGCGCGGUGGGUGGUGAUCUAUCAACGAGUCUACGCCGAUUGUGCACGGCCCUUACCGCCGGCGGCCCAGAAGGCGGGGACGGCGCCGCAGAAGGUGCAGACGACGCCCCGUUGUUCUCCGCUUCCUUGCGCGCGGUGGGUGACGAUCUAUCUACGAGUCGACACCGAGUGUGCGCGGCCCUUAUCGGCGGCGGCCCAAGUGCUGGUAGGAUUUGAGGACGGCGCCGCAGAAGGUGCAGACGAUGGCCCGCCAGGCGCGGCGGUGGACCGGCACGUAGCAGACGCGGGUGGCCGUCUCCAUGUCCGCCACUCUGGCGCCGCCGCCACAUCGGGAGCACAUCCCCGCCACGGGCUUCGUGCUCCUCAUCGUCCUCCUCUGGUCCACCAGGAAGCAGAAGAAAACCAUUUUCCUCAGAGGCAGAUAGAGAGAUUGGAGGUUGUGACGCCGAGGGGUUCGCAGAGAGGGUGAUAGAGAGAGCUGUAGGAUGGAAGGAGUGAUGGGAGAGAGGAGGGUUGAGAAGAAAGUGAGCCGCCGAUGGGGAUUUUAAAGGGACGAAACAACGGUCGCUCGAGGAUGAGCACACAGAGAGCUCGGCAGAAAGAUCCAGAGAGGGGCGGGGGCGUU
rnacentral:lncRNA from 1 species